GGGCAGAUGGCCGAGCGGUCCAAGGCGCUACGUUCAGGUCGUAGUCUCGAGAGAGGCGUGGGUUCGAAUCCCACUCUGCUCA